GACAGAGGUGCCAAGCGUUAGGCGGAAUCACUGGGCUUAAAGCGUGUGUCGGCGGACUGGUAAGUACCUUGUGAAAUCCCACGGCUCAACCGUGGAACUGCUUGGUAUACUGCUUGUCUUGAGCCACUUAGGGGCUACCGGAACAAAUGGUGGAGCGGUGAAAUGCGUAGAUAUCAUUUGGAACGCCAAUGGUGAAAACAGGUAGCUGGGAGUGUGCUGACGCUGAGACACGAAAGCCAGGGGAGCGAACGGG
rnacentral:rRNA from 1 species